rnacentral:rRNA from 1 species
GGGACACGUGAAACCCUGUGGGAAGCAGGAGGGACCACCCUCCAAGGCUAAAUACUACCUAGUGACCGAUAGCGUAUAGUACCGUGAGGGAAAGGUGAAAAGAACCCCGGGAGGGGAGUGAAAUAGAACCUGAAACCCUGCACUUACAAGCUGUGGAAGCACAUUUCUUGUGUGACCGCGUACUUUUUGUAGAACGGGCCAACGAGUUACGUUAAGUAGCAAGGUUAAGCACUUAAGGUGCGGAGCCGUAGCGAAAGCGAGUUUUAACUGAGCGUUCAGUUACUUGACGUAGACCCGAAACCGGGCGACCUACCCAUGAGCAGGAUGAAGCGAAAGUAAAAUUUCGUGGAGGUCCGAACCCACGAGCGUUGAAAAGCUCGGGGAUGACUUGUGGGUAGCGGUGAAAUUCCAAUCGAGCCCGGAGAUAGCUGGUUCUCCCCGAAAUAGCUUUAGGGCUAGCCUCAAGGUGAGAGAUACGGAGGUAGAGCACUGAAUGUCCUAGGGGGUAUUGCACCUACCGAAGACUAUCAAACUCCGAAUGCCGUCAUCUUAUACUUGGGAGUCAGACUGUGGGUGAUAAGAUUCAUAGUCGAAAGGGCAACAGCCCAGAUCGUCAGCUAAGGUCCCUAAAUGUAAGUUAAGUGGUAAAGGAUGUGGGAUUGCACAGACAACCAGGAUGUUGGCUUAGAAGCAGCCACUCAUUCAAAGAGUGCGUAAUAGCUCACUGGUCGAGUGAUCCUGCGCCGAAGAUUUCCGGGGCUAAAACUUACUACCGAAGCUACGGCAUCAGUAAUGAUGGGUAGGGGAGCUUCCCAUACGGGUUGAAGCAUGACCGUAAGGACAUGUGGACAGUAUGGGAGUGAGAAUGUUGGCAUGAGUAGCGAGAUGUGGGUGAGAAUCCCACAGGCCGUAAACCCAAGGUUUCCAGGGGAAGGUUCGUCCGCCCUGGGUUAGUCGGGACCUAAGCUGAGGCCGAAAGGCGUAGGUGAUGGAC